rnacentral:rRNA from 1 species
UACGUAGGGUGCGAGCGUUGUCCGGAAUUAUUGGGCGUAAAGGGCUCGUAGGCGGUUUGUCGCGUCGGGAGUGAAAACCAUGGGCUUAACUCAUGGCUUGCUUUCGAUACGGGCAGACUAGAGGUAUGCAGGGGAGAACGGAAUUCCUGGUGUAGCGGUGAAAUGCGCAGAUAUCAGGAGGAACACCGGUGGCGAAGGCGGUUCUCUGGGCAUGAUCUGACGCUGAGGAGCGAAAGUGUGGGAAGCGAACAGG